CCUACGGGUGUCAGCAGUGAGGAAUAUUUGUCAAUGGACGAGAGUCUGAACCAGCCAAGUAGCGUGAAGGAUUACUGCCCUAUGGGUUUUACACUUCUUUUAUAAAGGAAUAAAACGAGGCACGUGUGCCUUUUUGCAUGUACUUUAUGAAUAAGGAUCGGCUAACUCCGUGCCCGCAGCGGCGUUAAUACGGAGGAUCCGAGAGUUAUCCUGAUUUGUUGGGUUUAAAGGGAGAGUAGUUGGUGUUUUAAGUCAGGUGGGAAUGUUUGCGGGUCAACCUGAAAAUUGAAAUUGAUACUGGCAGUCUUGAGUACAGUGGAGGUAGGCGGAAUUCGUGGUGUAGCGGUGAAAUGCUUAGAUAUCACGAAGAACCCCGAUUGCGAAGGCAGCUUACUAAACUGUGACUGACAUUGAUGCUCGAAAGUGUGGGUAUCAAACAGGAUUAGAUACCCCAGUAGUC
rnacentral:rRNA from 1 species